rnacentral:rRNA from 1 species
UACGAAGGGGACUAGCGUUGUUCGGAAUCACUGGGCGUAAAGCGCACGUAGGCGGAUUCGUAAGUCAGGGGUGAAAUCCCGGGGCUCAACCUCGGAACUGCCUUUGAUACUGCGGGUCUUGAGUCCGAUAGAGGUGGGUGGAAUUCCUAGUGUAGAGGUGAAAUUCGUAGAUAUUAGGAAGAACACCGGUGGCGAAGGCGGCUCACUGGUCCGGUACUGACGCUGAGGCGCGAAAGCGUGGGGAGCAAACAGG